CUGACGGAGCAACGCCGCCUGAGUGAUGAAGGUUUUCGGAUCGUAAAGCUCUGUUGUUAGGGAAGAACAAGUGCGAGAGUAACUGCUCGCACCUUGACGGUACCUAACCAGAAAGCCACGGCUAACUACGUGCCAGCAGCCGCGGUAAUACGUAGGUGGCAAGCGUUGUCCGGAAUUAUUGGGCGUAAAGGGCUCGCAGGCGGUUUCUUAAGUCUGAUGUGAAAGCCCCCGGCUCAACCGGGGAGGGUCAUUGGAAACUGGGAAACUUGAGUGCAGAAGAGGAGAGUGGAAUUCCACGUGUAGCGGUGAAAUGCGUAGAGAUGUGGAGGAACACCAGUGGCGAAGGCGACUCUCUGGUCUGUAACUGACGCUGAGGAGCGAAAGCGUGGGGAGCGAACAGGAUUAGAUACCCUGGUAGUCCACGCCGUAAACGAUGAGUGCUAAGUGUUAGGGGGUUUCCGCCCCUUAGUGCUGCAGCUAACGCAUUAAGCACUCCGCCUGGGGAGUACGGUCGCAAGACUGAAACUCAAAGGAAUUGACGGGGGCCCGCACAAGCGGUGGAGCAUGUGGUUUAAUUCGAAGCAACGCGAAGAACCUUACCAGGUCUUGACAUCCUCUGACAACCCUAGAGAUAGGGCUUUCCCUUCGGGGACAGAGUGACAGGUGGUGCAUGGUUGUCGUCAGCUCGUGUCGUGAGAUGUUGGGUUAAGUCCCGCAACGAGCGCAACCCUUGAUCUUAGUUGCCAGCAUUCAGUUGGGCACUCUAAGGUGACUGCCGGUGACAAACCGGAGGAAGGUGGGGAUGACGUCAAAUCAUCAUGCCCCUUAUGACCUGGGCUACACACGUGCUACAAUGGACAGAACAAAGGGCUGCAAGACCGCAAGGUUUAGCCAAUCCCAUAAAUCUGUUCUCAGUUCGGAUCGCAGUAUGCAACUCGACUGAUGAAUUG
rnacentral:rRNA from 1 species